rnacentral:rRNA from 1 species
UGGGGAAUAUUGGACAAUGGGCGAAAGCCUGAUCCAGCCAUGCCGCGUGUGUGAAGAAGGUCUUCGGAUUGUAAAGCACUUUAAGUUGGGAGGAAGGGCAGUAAGCGACUACAUUGCUGUUUUGACGUUACCGACAGAAUAAGCACCGGCUAACUCUGUGCCAGCAGCCGCGGUAAUACAGAGGGUGCAAGCGUUAAUCGGCAUUACUGGUCGUUAAGCGAGCGUAGGUGGUUCGUUAAGUUGAAUGUGAAAGCGCCGGGCUCAACCUGGGAACUACAUCCAAAACUGGCGAGCAAGAGUAGGGCAGAGGGUGGUGGAAUUUCCUGUGUAGCGGUGAAAUGCGUAGAUAUAGGAAGGAACACCAGUGGCGAAGGCGACCACCUGGGCUCAUACUGACACUGAGGUACGAAAGCGUGGGGGGCAAACAGG